CCUACGGGGGGCAGCAGUGGGGAAUAUUGGGCAAUGGAGGAAACUCUGACCCAGCAAUGCCGCGUGAAUGAAGAAGGUCUUCGGAUUGUAAAGUUCUUUAGUCAGGGAAGAAGUCAAUGACGGUACCUGAAGAAUAAGCUCCGGCUAACUACGUGCCAGCAGCCGCGGUAAUACGGAGGAUGCGAGCGUUAUCCGGAUUUAUUGGGUUUAAAGGGUGCGUAGGCGGAAUAUCAAGUCAGCGGUAAAAAUUCGGGGCUCAACCCCGUCGUGCCGUUGAAACUGAUGUUCUUGAGUGGGCGAGAAGUAUGCGGAAUGCGUGGUGUAGCGGUGAAAUGCAUAGAUAUCACGCAGAACUCCGAUUGCGAAGGCAGCAUACCGGCGCCCAACUGACGCUGAAGCACGAAAGCGUGGGUAUCGAACAGGAUUAGAUACCCGAGUAGUC
rnacentral:rRNA from 1 species